rnacentral:rRNA from 1 species
UACGGGGGGAGCAAGCGUUGUUCGGAUUUACUGGGCGUAAAGGGCGCGUAGGCGGCCACGACAAGUCACUUGUGAAAUCUCCGGGCUUAACUCGGAACGGUCAAGUGAUACUGUCGGGCUAGAGUGCAGAAGGGGCAACUGGAAUUCUCGGUGUAGCGGUGAAAUGCGUAGAUAUCAAGAGGAACACCAGUGGCGAAGGCGAGUCCCUGGACAACACCUGACACUGAGGCACGAAAGCUAGGGGAGCAAACAGG